CGAGAUAUCUGGUUGAUCCUGCCUGAACUGAUGUGUUCAUUUCAAAGAUUAAGCCAUGCAUGUACAAGUUUAAUCGUUUUAACGAGAAACCGCGAACGGCUCAUUACAAUGGCCAUGAUUUACUUGAUCUUGAUUAUCUAAAUGGAUAACUGUGGAAAAGCUAGAGCUAAUACAUGCACCAAAGCUUUGUCCUCUCGGAAAAGCGCAUUUAUUAGAACAAAACCACGCGGCUUCGGCUGCUUCUUGUUGACUCAGAAUAACUAAGCUGACCGCAUGGCCUUGUGCCGGCGGCGUGUCUUUCAAGCGUCCACUUUAUCAACUUGACGGGAGCAUAAUCGACUCCCGUGGUGGUGACGGAUAACGGAGGAUCAGGGUUCGACUCCGGAGAAGGGGCCUGAGAAAUGGCCACUACGUCUAAGGAUGGCAGCAGGCGCGCAAAUUACCCACUCUCGGCUCGAGGAGGUAGUGACGAGAAAUAACGAGAUCGUUCUCUUUGAGGCCGGUCAUCGGAAUGGGUACAAUUUAAACCCUUUAACGAGUAUCAAGCAGAGGGCAAGUCUGGUGCCAGCAGCCGCGGUAAUUCCAGCUCUGCUAAUACAUAGAAUUAUUGCUGCGGUUAAAAAGCUCGUAGUUGGAUUCGUAUCGGUACCCUGGAACCCUCCGGGUGUUUCUGGGUGUUAUCGAUUUAUCGUAAUGUUCGGUUUUGAGUCCUUAACAGGAUUCUUAACAGGCAUUGCAAGUUUACUUUGAACAAAUCAGAGUGCUUCAAACAGGCGUUUUCGCUUGAAUGAUCGUGCAUGGAAUAAUAGAAAACGAUUUCGGUUCAGUUUUAUUGGUUUUACGGACUGAGAUAAUGGUUAACAGAGACAAACGGGGGCAUUUGUAUGGCCCCGUGAGAGGUGAAAUUCUUGGACCGUGGCCAGACAAACUACAGCGAAAGCAUUUGCCAAGAAUGUCUUCAUUAAUCAAGAACGAAAGUCAGAGGUUCGAAGGCGAUCAGAUACUUCGGGAAAAGAAUUGGCUCUAAAGGUUGGGUCAGUCGGGCUGUUGCUAUGAUGGUAAUCCUGCUUAGUACGAGAGGAACCGCAGGUUCAGACAUUUGGUUCAUGUGCUUGGUCGAUAGGCCAAUGGCGCGAAGCUACCAUCUGAGGGAUUAUGACUGAACGCCUCUAAGUCAGAAUCCCGCCCAGUCAUGAUAGCAAUAUAUAUCGCUCUCCGGUGUCGGAAGGCAAAAUGUAUACCACUUUAAGUGGCAGUACAAGCCCCAGUAUCUGGCAUUUUCCUUCUACUAUAAUUGGUAGUUGGUUGCUAAAAGCUUAGCACUCCUCGUGCAGGUGUAACGUCGGGGCGCAAAAUCACUUGUAUACGACUUGAAUACUGGUCAGGGGGUUGUAUCCAGUAGAGCAGCUCUUCGCUGCGAUCUGUUGAGACUUAGCCCUUGAUCGGAUGAUUUGUCUUUUUUAUAUACUAUAGACCUGUUUAUUUUUUACUUCCGGGCCAAGCGAAAUCGCGACUAUGAAGGCCCCAAUUUCUCUAACAUUCAAUUUCUAUCUAACAUUUCCCAAUUUCUAUCUAACAUUCAAUUGUGUAUACUUCCACUUAAUGCUUUACUUUGUAAUUUCGGUAACCCGGCAAUUUUCAACCAAGCCCAACAAUCCGAAACUAAUUAAAACAUUAACCCGGUUCAAAAUGCAAAAUUGGGAGCAAAGAUGGCAUUUCUACGGAAACCAUGCCUUACUAGAAUCCCCUCUCGACCUCCAAGGAACCACUACUAUGGUCUCGACUCCCUUUGUGGGCUUAACCUUUUAUACAAUCGUUUAAAUGGGUAUAAUGUUGAUCACGUAAUUUUUCAAGCCAGUUAAGCAAAGCUCUACCCUGCAACAUAUAUUGUAC